AAUAUAGAUCUAAUGGCAUAAAGCAUAAUAAAUAAUAUUCUAAAUAAUGAUAAAGAUAAAAGAAAUAAUAGUUGGACCAUAUCACACUCCUAUUUUAAUAGAAUAGAUUUGGGCGAAAAUACUCACUGGGCUUCUAAUAAUUUGUCAUAGCCAAUAUAAAUCAGCCCAAAUACAGACGAUAUCGUUUUGCCUUUUCCACUCUUCCACCUCACCAUCGUAGUUGCCGAUUCUGCAAAUCACCGUUUUUUUUUUUGGGUUAUUAUGAUCUACUCUUAAUAAUUCAAUCCAGUUCUUUACUCCUAUCUUGAUGAGCCAUGCUAUCCUUCCACCUCCCUUUUAUUUAUCCUCCUCUUAUAUAAAUCCUUUUGUAGAUGAGCCUGCUAUGUUUUUUACGCCGCUUGCGAUUUUAGUUCUUUUUGUACCAGUUGAAGCCAUUGCCUCAAAUCCAGACGGAUCAAAUUAAUUUUCGUCAUGAAUCAAUGCUGUCUUCCACUCCUUCCAGAGUUAAGACUUAUCCUCACAGCAGGUUUCCGCCGGGUGACUGAGCUGUGUGUCCUGCGAAGCUAUCCACGGUCAGGUCCAGUUUCGAGCGGAUACUUUUGAAAAGCAACAACGAGUGGUAAAGGCAGCAAAAAGCAGGAACAUACCACCAUGCCCGAGCAGAUGGUUUACAUGGACUCCAGAGAUUAUAUGAAGAAGAAAGUUCGGAGCGUAGUACCUGAGUCAUUUCGAAGUUUCUGUACGCCAUCCUGGUGACUAAGACAAGAGUAUUCUGUGAGGUUCCCUUCUACUAUUAAUCGUUAUCACAAAAAGUUUGGCUCUCAUCAGCUGGAAUCACUUCAUUUGAUUCACUUGCAGAAGCCAUACCUGGCCUCAAAAGAUGCCAUGUCCUUUGAUUUGCUUAAAAAGAAGCUCAUGUUAAGAUUAGAUACCUUCGGAAUCCGAAUUCUAAAGACUAACGAAGAGAUAAAUCUACACAAUGCAAGAAAAAAAUUAGAGAUUGACUUUGUUGAACAACAAUGAAAAACUUAUGUUGGUCAAAGGUCAUUGUUAAUUCUAGGAUAAACUACAUGGAUGGUCAUAUAUCCCAGUCGGUGGUUCCUUUCCACACACUGAACAAAAGAAUCUUGCCUUUGGUGUUGCAGCUAGCAUCGUACAUCCUGCAACAGGUUAUUCAGUUGUGACCUCUUUGUUUGAAGCUCCAAAGUACACAUCAGACAUAUAGGAUAUUUAAAACACGAUACUGCUUCCUUCACCAAACACAUCAACAUCAAUAUUUCAACACAAGGUGAUCUCUCCCUCGCCCACUGAGUUUACAGCUUUCAGACAAUUAUAAAACAUUUUAUUAACUUCCCUUUUUUUUGGUACCUUUGAUCAUUUACGGCCACAAGAAAAGAAACGAGAAAGAGCAUUCUUUCUCUUCGACGUUGCGCUCAUGCUUCAUCUAAGGCUUUAGGAGCUUCUUCCACAUUUUCUUCUGCCUUCCAUAAUGGUAAGGCAUCCCAUUGCUUAAGACAUUGAUUUGAUUCAGGUAACAAAAAAUGUAUGGAAAAUCAAGAUUAUUUCACUUGCUCAGGAUGUGGCAAAGGUUUAUAGGAUCAACAUUAUCAUGCUGUUGUAGUAAUCGUUUAGUAAAUGUGGUGUAUAUUGUAUAAAGUUUCGAUGUGAUGUUGAGACAAUUUAUUGUGAUGCACCUUAAUGAAGAACUAUGUUGACUUGAA